rnacentral:rRNA from 1 species
AGCGCAACCCUCGCUGUGUGUUAUAUGUGUCACACGGGACUGCCGGUCUUAAGCCGGAGGAAGGUGGGGAUGAUGUCAAGUCAGCAUGGCCUUUAUAUCCUGGGCUACACACACGCUACAAUGGCCAACACAAUAGGUUGCUAAGCCGCGAGGUGGCGCCAAUCCAUAAAGUUGGUCUCAGUUCAGAUUGUAGGCUGCAACCCGCCUGCAUGAAGAUGGAGUUGCUAGUAACCGCAGGUCAGCUAUACUGCGGUGAAUACGUUCCCGGGGCUU